GAUGAACGCUAGCUACAGGCUUAACACAUGCAAGUCGCGGGGCAGCAUGGGGGUUGCUUGCAAUCCCCGAUGGCGACCGGCGCACGGGUGAGUAACGCGUAUCCAACCUGCCCUUCACCACGGGAUAACCCGGCGAAAGUCGGACUAAUACCGUAUGUUGUCCAUUGACGGCAUCCGAUUUGGACGAAAGGUUUGGCGGUGAAGGAUGGGGAUGCGUCCGAUUAGCUGGACGGCGGGGUGACGGCCCACCGUGGCGACGAUCGGUAGGGGUUCUGAGAGGAAGGUCCCCCACACUGGAACUGAGACACGGUCCAGACUCCUACGGGAGGCAGCAGUGAGGAAUAUUGGUCAAUGGGCGUAAGCCUGAACCAGCCAAGUAGCGUGCAGGAUGACGGUCCUAUGGGGUGUAAACUGCUUUUAUGCGGGGAUAAAGUGGCCCACGUGUGGGUUUUUGCAGGUACCGCAUGAAUAAGGACCGGCUAAUUCCGU
rnacentral:rRNA from 1 species